GCCUGGGUAGCUCAGUUGGUUGAGCAUCUGACUUCAACUUAGGUCAUGAUCUCAACAGUUUGUGGGUUCAAGCCCUGCUUCGGGCU
rnacentral:tRNA from 1 species